GGAAUUGACGGGACCGCACAAGCGGUGAUGAUGUGGUUAAUUCGAUGCAACGCGAAAACCUUACCACCUUUGACAUGUACGGAACCUUUAGAGAUAGAGGGUGCUCGAAAGAGAGCCGUAACACAGGUGCUGCAUGGCUGUCGUCAGCUCGUGUCGUGAGAUGUUGGGUUAAGUCCCGCAACGAGCGCAACCCUUGUCAUUAGUUGCUACAUUCAGUUGGGCACUCUAAUGAGACUGCCGGUGACAAGCCGGAGGAAGGUGGGGAUGACGUCAAGUCCUCAUGGCCCUUAUAGGUGGGGCUACACACGUGCUACAAUGGGCGGUACAAAGAGAAGCUAACUCGCGAGAGUACGCCAAUCUCAAAAAGCCGUCCUAAGUUCGGAUUGAAGUCUGCAACUCGACUUCAUGAAGCUGGAAUCGCUAGUAAUCGCGGAUCAGCAUGUCGCGGUGAAUACGUUCCCGGGCCUU
rnacentral:rRNA from 1 species